AGAGGCCGGGGAAUUCCCGGGGUAGGGUGAAAUCCUGUAAUCCCGGAGGACCACCUGUGGCGAAGGCGCCCGGCUGGAACGGGUCCGACGGUGAGGGACGAAGGCCAGGGGAGCGAACCCGGAUUAGAUACCCGGGUAGUCCUGGCUGUAAACGAUGCGGGCUAGGUGUCACCAGAGCCACGAGCUCCGGUGGUGCCGGAGGGAAGCCGUUAAGCCCGCCGCCUGGGAAGUACGGCCGCAAGGCUGAAACUUAAAGGAAUUGGCGGGGGAGCACUACAACGGGUGGAGCCUGCGGUUCAAUUGGAUUCAACGCCGGGAAGCUUACCGGGGGAGACAGCUGGAUGAAGGUCGGGCUGAAGACCCUACCAGACUAGCUGAGAGGUGGUGCAUGGCCGCCGUCAGUUCGUACUGUGAAGCAUCCUGUUAAGUCAGGCAACGAGCGAGACCCGCGCCCUCAGUUGCCAGCGGAUCCCUUCGGGGAUGCCGGGCACACUGAGGGGACUGCCGGCGCUAAGCCGGAGGAAGGUGCGGGCAACGGCAGGUCCGUAUGCCCCGAAUCCCUCGGGCUACACGCGGGCUACAAUGGCCGGGACAAUGGGUACCGACCCCGAAAGGGGUAGGUAAUCCCCUAAACCCGGUCUAACCUGGGAUCGAGGGCUGCAACUCGCCCUCGUGAACCUGGAAUUCCGUAGUAANNNCGCCUCAAAAUGGCGCGGAAUAC
rnacentral:rRNA from 1 species